AGGUUUAUGGCAAAUGCAAAGCAUUAUAUUAUGUGAACAGGCCACUAAGAAUUCUUUAUUUACCUGCUUAUAACUGUACUCUUCGCCCAGUUUCUCGAAGAAAGAUUCAGAAUAUGUGUCCUGACUGCCCAUCCCCACUAACUUGUCAGAUCCCAAAGUUCUGGAAACUGCCAUAGAGACAC